AUAAUAAAUAGUCUUUUAAUUAAGGACUGGAAUGAACGAUUAAAUGAGAUAAAUACUUUAUUAAAUUAAUUAAUAUAAAAUUUAAAUUUUAAGUGAAAAAGCUUAAAUAUUUUAAAAAGACGAAAAGACCCUAUAAAUCUUAAUUUAAAAUUUAAAAUAUAUUUUAAAUUUUAAAUUAUAUUGGGGUGAUAAAAAAAUUUAAUAAACUUUUUUGAUUUUAAUUAUAAAUUUAUAUUUAAAACUAGAAACUAUAUGAUUAUUAUAAAUAAAGAUUAAGAUACUUUAGGGAUAACAGCGUAAUUUUAAUUUGAAGUUCAUAUUUAAAUUAAAGAUUGC
rnacentral:rRNA from 1 species